rnacentral:rRNA from 1 species
GAUGAACGCUGGCGGCGUGCUUAACACAUGCAAGUCGAACGAGAAGUUGAGACGUAGACCUUCGGGCGGAAGACUUUACUUCGAGUGUCGGACGGGUGAGUAACGCAUUGGUAGCCUGCCGCAUACAUGGGGAUAACAGUUUGAAACGACUGUUAAUACCGCAUUAGACCACAGCACCGCAUGAUUCGGGGGUAAAAACUCCAGUGGUAUGAGAUGGACCCGCGUUCGAUUAGCCAGUUGGCGGGGUAACGGCCCACCAAAGCGACGAUCGAUAGCCGAUCUGAGAGGAUGACCGGCCACAUUGGGACUGAGACACGGCCCAAACUCCUACGGGAGGCAGCAGUGGGGAAUAUUGCACAAUGGGGGAAACCCUGAUGCAGCGAUGCCGCGUGAGUGAAGAAGUAUUUAGGUAUGUAAAGCUCUAUUAGCCGGGAAGAAAAUGACAGUACCUGAGUAAGAAGCCCCGGCUAACUACGUG